AGAGUUGAUCAUGGCUCAGGAUGAACGCGUAGCGGCAGGCUAACACAUGCAAGUCGAGGGGCAGCGCGGGGUAGCAAUACUCUGGCGGCGACCGGCGAAAGGGUGAGUAACGCGUGAGCAACAUGCCCGGGGACUGGGGGAUAGUCGAUGGAAACGUCGCGUAAUACCCCGUAACACACGGAACCGCAUGAUUCUGUGUUGAGAGAUUUAUUGAUUCCGGAUUGGCUCGCGUGCCAUUAGCUAGUUGGCGGGGUAACGGCCCACCAAGGCGACGAUGGCUAGGGGUUCUGAGAGGAAGGUCCCCCACAUUGGAACUGAGACACGGUCCAGACUCCUACGGGAGGCAGCAGUGAGGAAUAUUGGACAAUGGCCGAGAGGCUGAUCCAGCCGUGCCGCGUGCGGGAAGACGGCCCUAUGGGUUGUAAACCGCUUUUGCGAGGGAGCAAUAAGGUCUACGUGUAGACCGAUGAGAGUACCUUACGAAUAAGCAUCGGCUAACUCCGUGCCAGCAGCUGC
rnacentral:rRNA from 1 species